rnacentral:rRNA from 1 species
CCUACGGGUGGCAGCAGUGAGGAAUAUUGGUCAAUGGGCGCAAGCCUGAACCAGCCAAGUCGCGUGAGGGAUGACGGCCCUACGGGUUGUAAACCUCUUUUGUCGGGGAGCAAGGUCCGGCACGUGUGCCGGGUCGGAGAGUACCCGGAGAAAAAGCAUCGGCUAACUCCGUGCCAGCAGCCGCGGUAAUACGGGGGAUGCGAGCGUUAUCCGGAUUUAUUGGGUUUAAAGGGUGCGUAGGCGGGUGUUUAAGUCAGCGGGAAAAUUUCGGGGCUCAACACCGUCCUGCCGUUGAAACUGGGGGUCUUGAGUGAGCGAGAAGUAGGCGGAAUGCGUGGUGUAGCGGUGAAAUGCAUAGAUAUCACGCAGAACCCCGAUUGCGAAGGCAGCUUACCGGCGCGCUACUGACGCUGAGGCACGAAAGUGUGGGGAUCGAACAGGAUUAGAUACCCGUGUAGUC